rnacentral:rRNA from 1 species
GGGGAAUAUUGGACAAUGGGCGAAAGCCUGAUCCAGCCAUGCCGCGUGUGUGAAGAAGGUCUUCGGAUUGUAAAGCACUUUAAGUUGGGAGGAAGGGCAGUUACCUAAUACGUGAUUGUUUUGACGUUACCGACAGAAUAAGCACCGGCUAACUCUGUGCCAGCAGCCGCGGUAAUACAGAGGGUGCAAGCGUUAAUCGGAAUUACUGGGCGUAAAGCGCGCGUAGGUGGUUUGUUAAGUUGGAUGUGAAAUCCCCGGGCUCAACCUGGGAACUGCAUUCAAAACUGACUGACUAGAGUAUGGUAGAGGGUGGUGGAAUUUCCUGUGUAGCGGUGAAAUGCGUAGAUAUAGGAAGGAACACCAGUGGCGAAGGCGACCACCUGGACUAAUACUGACACUGAGGUGCGAAAGCGUGGGGAGCAAAC